rnacentral:tRNA from 1 species
GGAGAGGUGGCCGAGCUGGUUUAAGGCAGCCGCCUGCUAAGCGGUUAGUCCGCCAAAAAGCGGGCUCCAGGGUUCGAAUCCCUGCCUCUCCGCCA